UACAGAGGGGGCGAGCGUUGUUCGGAAUUACUGGGCGUAAAGGGCUCGUAGGUGGCCAACUAAGUCAGACGUGAAAUCCCCAGGCUUAACCUGGGAACUGCGUCUGAUACUGGAUGGCUUGAAUUCGGGAGAGGGAUGCAGAAUUCCAGGUGUAGCGGUGAAAUGCGUAGAUAUCUGGAGGAAUACCGGUGGCGAAGGCGGCAUCCUGGACCGAGAUUGACACUGAGGAGCGAAAGCUAGGGGAGCAAACGGG
rnacentral:rRNA from 1 species